GUAUCGGUGGUAUAGUGGUGAGCAUAGCUGCCUUCCAAGCAGUUGACACGGGUUUGUUUCCCGGGCAAUGCA
rfam:Amazona aestiva scaffold_485, whole genome shotgun sequence.